GAUCCUGGCUCAGGACGAACGCUGGCGGCGUGCUUAACACAUGCAAGUCGAACGAGAAUCUAUGGAACGAGGAUUCGUCCAAGUGAAAUAGAGGACAGUGGCGGACGGGUGAGUAACGCGUGAGGAACCUGCCUUUCAGAGGGGGACAACAGUUGGAAACGACUGCUAAUACCGCAUAACGCAUAGAAGUCGCAUGGCUUUUAUGCCAAAGAUUUAUCGCUGAGGGAUGGCCUCGCG
rnacentral:rRNA from 1 species